CUGCUGCCUUCCGUAGGAGUCUGGGCCGUGUCUCAGUCCCAGUGUGGCCGAUCACCCUCUCAGGUCGGCUACCCAUCGUUGCCUUGGUGGGCCGUUACCUCACCAACUAGCUAAUGGGUCGCGAGCCCAUCCUAUACCGAAUAUUUCUUUUACCCUGUAUCAUGCGAUACUGUGGUCUUAUACCGUAUUAGCACAAAUUUCUCUGUGUUAUCCCGUUGUAUAGGGCAGGUUGCUCACGCGUUACUCACCCGUUCG
rnacentral:rRNA from 1 species